UACGUAGGGUGCAAGCGUUGUCCGGAAUUAUUGGGCGUAAAGAGCUCGUAGGCGGUCUGUCGCGUCGGCUGUGAAAUCCCGCGGCUCAACUGCGGGUCUGCAGUCGAUACGGGCAGGCUAGAGUUCGGUAGGGGAGACUGGAAUUCCUGGUGUAGCGGUGAAAUGCGCAGAUAUCAGGAGGAACACCGGUGGCGAAGGCGGAUCUCUGGGCCAUUACUGACGCUGAGGAGCGAAAGCGUGGGGAGCGAACAGG
rnacentral:rRNA from 1 species